AAACAAAAAGUGCAUAAUAUGCACCCCCUG
rnacentral:tRNA from 1 species